GGGAAUCUACCGUGCCCUGCGGAAUAGCUCCGGGAAACUGGAAUUAAUACCGCAUACGCCCUACGGGGGAAAGAUUUAUCGGGGUAUGAUGAGCCCGCGUUGGAUUAGCUAGUUGGUGGGGUAAAGGCCUACCAAGGCGACGAUCCAUAGCUGGUCUGAGAGGAUGAUCAGCCACAUUGGGACUGAGACACGGCCCAAACUCCUACGGGAGGCAGCAGUGGGGAAUAUUGGACAAUGGGCGCAAGCCUGAUCCAGCCAUGCCGCGUGAGUGAUGAAGGCCUUAGGGUUGUAGAGCUCUUUCCCCGGUGAAGAUAAUGACGGUAACCGGAGAAGAAGCCCCGGCUAACUUCGUGCCAGCAGCCGCGGUAAUACGAAGGGGGCUAGCGUUGUUCGGAAUUACUGGGCGUAAAGCGCACGUAGGCGGAUAUUUAAGUCAGGGGUGAAAUCCCAGAGCUCAACUCUGGAACUGCCUUUGAUACUGGGUAUCUUGAGUAUGGAAGAGGUAAGUGGAAUUGCGAGU
rnacentral:rRNA from 1 species